AAGUCGUAACAAGGUUUCCGUAGGUGAACCUGCGGAAGGAUCAUCGUUGUCCGUUGGGGGGAUUUGUGGGGUGUGGCAUGUAACUUUUGGAACCCAACCAAAGAGGAGAGGAGUUGACUGAGGGUUGUUUGUGGAGAAAGAAAAAGGACAAAACUUUCAACAACGGAUCUCUUGGCUCUCA
rnacentral:misc_RNA from 1 species